GACAGAGGGUGCAAACGUUGUUCGGAAUUACUGGGCGUAAAGCGUGUGUAGGCGGUCCGCUAAGUCGGGUGUGAAACCCCUGGGCUCAACCCAGGAAGUGCACUCGAAACUGGCGGGCUAGAGUAUCGGAGAGGUUGGUGGAAUUCUCGGCGUAGAGGUGAAAUUCGUAGAUAUCGAGAGGAACACCGGUGGCGAAGGCGGCCAACUGGACGAAUACUGACGCUGAGACACGAAAGCGUGGGGAGCAAACAGG
rnacentral:rRNA from 1 species